UAAUUUUUGUUUUCAAAAAAAAUAGUUUCGACAGCUUGGCGAGGAUACAGAAUGUGAAGCUCUUUGGUCUUUUAUACCAAUCCCAGGGUGUUAUACCAAAUGCUCAUGCACAAAUGAAGAAGUUUUUUCCACGAGGAAACCUCUUCUCAUUGCUUGAUUAUCACUGCCAUGGUUAAAUAAUUUUUACAGCAAGCUAUCCCCCCCCC
rnacentral:lncRNA from 1 species